GACGAACGCUGGCGGCGUGCUUAACACAUGCAAGUCGAACGCUGAAGCUUGGUGCUUGCACUGGGUGGAUGAGUGGCGAACGGGUGAGUAAUACGUGAGUAACCUGCCCUUGACUCUGGGAUAAGCCUGGGAAACUGGGUCUAAUACUGGAUACGACAUGUCACCGCAUGGUGGUGUGUGGAAAGGGUUUUACUGGUUUUGGAUGGGCUCACGGCCUAUCAGCUUGUUGGUGGGGUAAUGGCUCACCAAGGCGACGACGGGUAGACGGCCUGAGAGGGUGACCGGCCACACUGGGACUGAGAGACGGCCCAGACUCCUACGGGAGGCAGCAGUGGGGAAUAUUGCACAAUGGGCGGAAGCCUGAUGCAGCGACGCCGCGUGAGGGAUGACGGCCUUCGGGUUGUAAACCUCUUUCAGCACGGAAGAAGCGAAAGUGACGGUACGUGCAGAAGAAGCGCCGGCUAACUACGUG
rnacentral:rRNA from 1 species